AGGAACCUGCCUUGGAGUGGGGAAUAACAGCUGGAAACAGCUGCUAAUACCGCAUAAUAUAUCUGGGUCGCAUGGCUCUGGAUAUCAAAGAUUUAUCGCUCUGAGAUGGACUCGCGUCUGAUUAGCUGGUUGGCGGGGUAACGGCCCACCAAGGCGACGAUCAGUAGCCGGACUGAGAGGUUGGCCGGCCACAUUGGGACUGAGACACGGCCCAGACUCCUACGGAAGGCAGCAG
rnacentral:rRNA from 1 species